rnacentral:rRNA from 1 species
AUGCUUGGUUACGGAAAGGACUUGCACACCUACAGAGUCUUCAACAUCGCUCUUCACAAGAUUGUUGAAACUGUAGAUGUGCGGUUCGAUGAAACUAAUGGCUCGCAAAGAGAGCACCUACCUUCUGUGUUAGAUGAACCAGCACCUGAGGAUUCUAUCAAGCUCAAGGCAAUUGAGGAUGUCAUUCCUACUGAAGAAUUUGCUGAAGAAUUCAUUCCAGUACGCGAAGAACGUCGAGCUGACGCACCUGAAGAUAAUGCUGAAGACAAUGGUGCUGAGGAAAAUGAUCAAAUACCUUGA